UCUCUUUCUUUCUCUUAUUAUUAUCAUUAUCAAUCGUUCAACAUCCUUAUUCUUUCCCUUUAUACUGAUCAAAACUAUCCAUAAACAUUUAAGUGCAAACAGCUAACUAGUUUAUUGCACAUAUUUACUUCUCAUUCCACUAAGUAUAAACAAUAAAAAAGAAGUCAAAUAAUACACAAAUACAUGAUUGGAUAAACUAUAAUACUUCUUCACUCACGAGAUUGCACAAAUUUAUAUAAGCGAGAGAGAGAGAGAGAGAGAGAGAGAGAGAGAGAGAGAGAGAGAGAGAGAGAGAGAGAGAGAGAGAGAGAGAGAGAGAGAGAGAGAGAGAGAGAGAGAGAGAGAGAGAGAGAGAGAGAGAGAGAGAGAGAAUAAAUCUUCACUCACGAGAUUGCACAAAUUUAUAUGAGAGAGAGAGAGAGAGAGAGAGAAAGAGAGAAAGCAAUGCAUAUAUGGCUUAGCUUACAACCUCUUACAGUAGAAUACAAAGGCAACAAAUCACAAACUCAAUAACAUUAUUACGCCGGAGACUCAAGAGUAUUAAGUAAAGGGAGAAUCAAUUAUCAUGAGACACAGGUCGGCAUUAUAAGACAGUUCCGCUUCUCACAUCAGCUCUAUUUCUGAAGGCCAAAAAGGAGGUCAAUCGGGUUUUCCUGAGUGUGUUUUUAGGUUCAUGGUACAGAGGAAGGGUCAAACUACCACCAGGGUCAUAAAACUGUCCCUGGAACUGCCCACAACUCCUACGAAAGCCAUGUUAAAUAUGUGUUUCUUAGGUUCAUGGUACAGAGAAAGGGUCAAACUACCACCAGGGUCAUAAAACUGUCCCUGGAACUGCCCACAACUCCUACGAAAGCCAUGUUAAAUAUGUGUUUCUUAGGUUCAUGGUACAGAGAAAGGGUCAAACUACCACCAGGGUCAUAAAACUGUCCCUGGAACUGCCCACAACUCCUACGAAAGCCAUGUUAAAUAUGUGUUUCUUAGGUUCAUGGUACAGAGAAAGGGUCAAACUACCACCAGGGUCAUAAAACUGGUCCUGGAAAUGCCCACAACUCCUGCGAAAGCCAUGUUAAAUAUGUGUUUCUUAGCUUCAUGGUACGGAGGAGGGGUCACACUACCACCAGGGUUAUAAAACUAUCCCUGGAAAUGCUCACAAAUCCUGCGAAAGCCAUGUCAAAUAUGUGAACUUGGGCGACGGAAUGUUUUAUAAUACGAUCCAUAUAAUCCGAGUAUAUAAGGGAUUACGUUUGUCUUUGGUACCAGACUUCAAAUACAUGAAUUGUUUACGAUCGACGACACGUUCCGAGCGAGAAAUACUGAAAGAAAACUUAAGUGUAAACAAGUAAAUUCAGACUGCACCAAAUUUCUCCUCACCAACGUUGUAGCGCGAGAAUGGAACAAACUCCCGCCCUCAUUGGUCCAGUGCAGCACGAUUGACUUCUUUAACCUGGUAGCUGCGGGGAUCAUGUUUCUUGAAGGUCCCUCUAAGCGAGAAAAAUGAAAAAAAUCAUCACUCACGCAAACCAUUUCAUAAUAUAUAUAUCAACACAUUUGUGAUCAGUUCAUGCAUCCUCUAUUUUGGGGGGUUUAUAUCAUGGCAAAAAUUUGGCCCGUCGCUGCUACCGGGUUAAAGGUCCCUCUAAGCGAGAAAAUGAGAAAAAAUCAUCACUCACGCAAGCCAUUUCAAAAUAUAUAUAUCAACGCAUUUGUGAUCAGUUCAUGCAUCAUCUAUUUUGGGGGGCAGUUAUAUUAUGGCAAAAAUUUGGCCCGUCACUGCUACUGGGUUAAAGGUCCCUCUAAGCGAGAAAAUGACAAAAAUCAUCACUCACGCAAACCAUUUCAAAAUAUAUAUAUCAACACAUUUGUGAUCAGUUUAUGCAUCAUCUAUUUUGGGGGGUUUAUAUUAUGGCAAAAAUUUGGCCCGUCGCUGCUACCGGGUUAAAAACAAGCUUGGCCGACA